GUUGACUGAAUGAUGAACUCAUAGUUCAGCCGAUAAUGAUGACGAUCAAUAGUCUUUCGCCUUUAUCUGACAGUUCCU